GCGGCACCGUUGGGUGGUGGUGGUGGGUCUUCACUGCCGGGCAUAGUGGACGGCCGUCGGUGUCUUGCGUGGUGAGACGUGGAUCAGAAUCCGCGUUCCCGUCUGAUCCGUGUACCAGGAAAUUCGCUUUCCGCUACGGCGUCGGUCGUUUGGAAGCUGGAGACUCCGGGACAGAGGCAACUAGCGCCGCCGGCGAGCCGCCAUGGAUCAGCCAAUCAGCAGAUCCAGUCUGCUUGAGGAGGUAGGGGAUAGCUUGGUGCCGGCUCCUAUGGCUGUCAAUGUAUCUGCCGUGGCAGAUCUGGAAGUGGCACCGAAGGCGGAGCGGGAGGUGGCGCAGCAGUAGACGGUGGACAGCGGCGAAGCACAAAUCUUCUUGGCGAAGGAGGCGGCCGCGAACAGAAGGGAGAGCUCGCCGCCAACGUCGAAGCUGUCCGCGGGGAAGAUGAAUCCCCAAGCACCGGUGUGGAACAAAAGGCUAGGGAUUGGUGCUGCCGCCCCCAGCAGAACACCGUGCCCACUUCGUGUGAGUGCGUUUGAGAAGGCAGUCAGGUGUUUCGCGAAGAACCCAUCUGAAAAUGCGAUCACACCGGUUCUUGGCACUACUUUCGACUCUGGCCGAGGCGUAUGACUUCUACAACUUGUAUUUGUGGGAGAAGGUUUUUGGCAUCCGGUAUGGCAAGAGAUGGCUAAAUGCCGAAAGGACAGAGUGCAUGCAGGAGAUAGUUUGUGCAUGCUCGGUUUGUUAUUAAUUUUGCUGUUGCUGCUUUGUGAUCGGUAAUUCAGUUAUGUUCGGGUGUACUUCCAGUGUUGGUAUUGAUUAAAGUGUGAACAUUUCUGCAGGGUAAAGCUGGGGUCGAGAACACAAGGUCUUGUCGGUGCGAGUGCCCUGCUCUGAUUAAACUUUUCCGAGUAGAGGACAACGGGUGGUACAUUGCAGAGCAUAGAGACAAUCAGAAAUCUUGACAGGGGAAAUGAACCCUCAAGCGCCAGGAUGGUCUAAGAGAACAAUUGUCUGAACUCUUUUUGGAGGAGUUACAUUUUCAGCCUCAUGAUAGAGCUGGUGGCACCCAGCAGGGCCCCUUGCCCGUCUUGCGUGAGUGCUUUCAAGAAAGCAGCGAGGGCUUUUGCUGAGAACCCCUCGGGCAAUGCCAUUGUCCUGAAACCGGGUAUCAGUUUUGACUCGCUCGGAGAGGCGUACGAUUUCUGCAACAUGUACUCCUAGGAGAAAGGAUUUGGAAUAAUCGGUGGCUCCAUUCUUCUUAACCAAGUUCAGUCAUUGAUUUGCCUUCAGUCUAAGGCACCUUUGUAUGCACAUGACGCGGCAGAGCCCAAUAACAUAUCAUUUGGCAAAGAGCACUGGAACGAUACAUACUACGUCUUAGCAAGUACUAAUAUGAAGUUGCGCAGGCUCUGUCGUAGACUAAAGAGGUACUGUCUAUAUGUAUCACUAUGUAAUUUUUUUACAGUCUGUAAGAUUAUUUAUAUGGCAAGUACUGGUCUCAUCGCCAGCAACCUGUAGUUUCACCGUCCAUAGUUCUGGUCAUACUACUGUGCCUACAGUCAUGCCCAUUCAACUUUUUUAGAGGAACAUUCAGUUAAGGAAUUUGAAAGGUUCAGUGAAGUUUAAUAUUUGGGGUAAAGGGAGAAACGCCUAAAUUAGAUGGCAUAAUACAAUUUUAUAUUCUGUUGUUGAAGUCCAGCGUUUGAGCAUCCUUUGCAUGAUAAGCACAAAGACCAACAUCAGACGCUGCCGGUCAUCAAACACCUUCCUGUCGCGCCCUUUCCAGAUGCUCUGGAGGAAGCAAGUGAUGAUAAUGGACAGUAGUUUCUAGGGGGAUCACCCCGAUUUAAACUGAAGAUGCAAUUUCAGUCCAGCUUUCCUUUUUUACUUCACAUCUUUCGGUUUAAGAAUUGUUUACUUAAUAUUGUAGAUAUAUAAUAGUGCAGAUAAAAGAGAACUUCAUACUUUAACCGGGUGUUUAAUAGCUGCAACAUUCUUGAAACUGUUGGGGAUGGGCCUGUUAUACUGCAACAAACAAGCCAAUUGUACAAAAUCUUGCAUACUCGCUCUGCAACUUGCGUAUGUUGGAUAUGCAAACAACCUCAUCACAUCAGUUUUGGUCUAGCCUUGGUUCUUCUGAUCAUGGCGCUGUCCUCGAGGGGUUUGAAUUGCUUGGUUCAACAAAAAAGCAAAGAACACAUUCUCCUCUGCACUGCCUCUUCUACCGACGUAGCUAGAUCAUCCCUUCGUGUGUGGCUCUAUGCGUAUGGGCGAGGAUCUUCCAAGGCGAGCUCGUCUCAGCUGGGGGCGGGGACUUCAUCGAGCCUUCGUUCAAAGAACAAAGCUCCCUGCCUAUGAUGGGUCUCAUCUUGUUAGUGCUUCCGCUCCACCUAUGGUGCUCAUUCUGCGGCUGGGGACUUCAUCGACAUCAAGCGAAGCUUUGUUGUCCAUUAUGUUGUAGUGCUUGGUGUUGUUGAGGUUUGUAAGUUGUCUAGUAGCACCAUGUAUCUGCCGUCUUUUUCUUUUUCCUCUUGUUAGGUGCUGUCCGAUGUAACUCCUGGCCGGUUGAUGGCUUUGUUAAUUCAAAGCCGGGCUCUCUCUCGAGCCUUCGUUCUAAAAAAAAAGAUAAAAA